rnacentral:ncRNA from 1 species
ACUAAGAGCUAUGUCCCUGUGCUGUGGUCCCUCGGGGGGAGCACGGGGGCGACACCCUCAAACUGACGGGGAACCCCUAAAGCCAUCCGCUCCGGCCUCCGCUUAGGAAACUCUGCGAGAGGCACCAGGUUAACGGCCUGGGUAUCGGAACAAAUUCGCGGUGGAUGUUACAAUGGGCAAUCCGCAGCCAAGCCCCUAAGUGCACUGCAAUUGCAGCGCAUACGGGGAAGGUUCAGAGACUUGACGGGGGUGGGUGGGUGCGCACUUCCGCUGAACGGCGGGCGUGUUCUUCAAAGCGUUAUGCCCGCUUAAGAUAAAGUCCCGGAGGGGCGCUGAAAGGUGCUC